GUGAAUUUCUUUGCUCACUCUUGUUUGUCCUGCUCAGUGCGUCCAGGCUGCCCUGCAACGAAGAUCCUUAAUUUAGAGUCUUUCCACUUCUUUCUGUUGGUGAGGAUGUACGGGAGCAACAAGUCAAAUUACACAAGAGGAGGCUGCCUAAGGAAACCGACACGAACCUCCGUCAUCAAACAGCCACCACACAUCAAUGGUGCCUUUAGGCUGCUUCUUCUUGAACUGAGUGCUGGCCUGCAACAACUUCUCAUUCAUCUUGGCAACCUGCUGGGGCGGAGGGCCACACACUGACACUAUAAGAGAGAGAGAAGGAGAAAGUUGUGAGAAAUGAGAGCACAACAGUAGAAGGGAAUGUAAUUCAUUGACGGGGCGAGCAGAGUUGAGUUAGAUGGGAAAACUCGCACGAACCAACAUUAGGAGCUGACUCCACAUCAGCGGGAACAGCCAUCGCUCAGGUCUAAUGUUCCAAUGAGUGGGACACAGAUUGUAUACUAACGACCGGCGCUACCUUGCCAAGAUGCAGCUCAGUGUGUGUUUGUGUGCGUGACACAGAGACGGAUAGAGUGAGAGUCUGCAGGCACCCUGUGCUGUCUGGGUUAAAGGAAUGCUCUGAAGGGAUGCUCUUCAAACUGGAACGAAAGGGACCAUAUUAUUGGAUUACACCCUGAGAGACCUCUUUAGUGGGAGUGGUUGAUUCAAUUAUAUCUCAAUGUGAUUGUAGAGAAAAUUCCGAAAAAAAGAUGUGAGUCAUUGCUUUCAUUUGUUAAAUGUAUGUUAUUUUGUCCUGCGACUCGGUGGGAAUGUGAGUGCACGUGGAGGAGAGGGAGACAGAGGCCUACUUUUUCAAUAUAUUUAAAGUCACACUCAUCUAUUAAUGCAACCUUGGCUUUGGAUAGCUUCGUUUUUAUGUAAUUUCAGAGAGAGACAAAUCAUUUCUAGAUGGAUACCUCUGGUUGCUAGCACUUGCUGAGAGGAUUUCCUGUUCUUCCUGAACAGUCCUUUUCCUUUCCUUUCGUUUGCCCUCAUCUCCUUCUCCAGGUCCCGUUGCUCCUUCACCGCCUUUAGCAUCUCAUCUGAAAGACAAAAUCAGAUUUCCAUUGCUGUCAGUGUAUCAUUCAUUACUCAGAAUCCUCAUGUCAAAAGCGCAGCAAUAAACCGGAAGUUAUUUUAGCCCCUUA